CUGACGUCCACAAUAUUAUAACCAAGAUGAAAUCACUCCUUCAUCUCAAUUCUCUUUCAUUCUUCAUCACCCUCUUUUUAUUUUCUAUCUCAUAACUCACCGAAGAAGAUUCACAAACGACAUGAGUGAAUCAACAUCUCUAUGCUCUGAAGGGUACUUAAUAGCCCGUGGAGCUCUUUUCGGAAAGAGAAGUAUCGUCGGGAAGCUCCCUAACUGAAGCUCUUGCUUAGCAAACUCCUUCUGCUCACCGUCAGCUCGGAAUUUCGCCACUUUAACUCCUUUUCCCGCAAGUUUCUCAGCCAAUUCGAUGUACGAUGCUUCCAUCGCCUGGCAGAAAGGGCACCAAGGAGCGUAAAGUACGACCAACCACGCCUCUUUACGGUUCUCUAGCUUCAAAAGAUUCUCAACCCCUCCUUUGCUCAAUGCAACCACAUUGUUGCUUUCAAAUAUCUCUUGCACAGCAGCAGGCUUUGAGUCUGCAGCACCAUCUUCCUCCUUGAUGUUCCCUUUGUGUAGACCACAUUCUUUAGCUUUAGCAUCUUCCCACCACCACCUUCCUUCUCUCUCAUGUUGGCCUGGAAGCACCGGCCUAGUACACGGCUCACACCCGAUUGACACAUACCCUUGUGCGUGCAAUGCAUUCACCGGAACAUCCAUAGUUCUCAGAAAGUUCCACACAUCAGCUCCUUCAACAUUAGCCAAAGGAUUCCACUUCACAAGACUUCCAACACCGCCAUCUAACCCUUCAAACACUGGAUCAACCUGAACAAUAGGGAUCUCAG